UACAGAGGGUGCGAGCGUUAAUCGGAAUUACUGGGCGUAAAGCGUGCGUAGACGGCUAUCUAAGUCGGGUGUGAAAGCCCCGGGCUCAACCUGGGAAUUGCAUUCGAGACUGAAUAGCUAGGAUACGGUAGAGGGAAGUGGAAUUCCGGUGUAGCGGUGAAAUGCGUAGAUAUCGGAAGGAACAUCAGUGGCGAAAGCGACUUCCUGGACCAGUACCGACGUUCAGGCACGAAAGCGUGGGGAGCAAACAGG
rnacentral:rRNA from 1 species